GAUCCCACACACUGAGGAGCAGUUACGCCCCUGAGCCACAACGAACUGAGCCUGUGCUGCAGAGUUGAUGAGCUGCAACUGCAGAAGAAGCCUGUGUGCCGCAAUAAAGACCCAGCACAGCCAUCAGUGAAUAAAUAUAAAUAAAUAAUAACCUUAGAAGUUAAGGAAAAAUACGGGCUCUGUCAUUCUUUGGGGCUUCUGUGACUCUUCCAGCAGGCUGAUUGUGGUGGGCAGAACUGUCGUCCUCCCCUGCCCCCACUCGGACCGUGAAGAUCCUCUAAUCCCCAGAACCUGUGGAUGUGUUACGUCACUUGGCCACAGUGAGUUCAGGUUGCGGAUACCAUGAAGGCUGCUGGUCAGCGGACUUUACAGUAGAGAGAAGAGAUGAGAUUACCUCGAUGGGCUCAAUCUCAUCACCUGGAGAUCCGAGAAGGUGCCAUGAGCCGCCUCGAGGAGCCAGGAACAGCCCUCAGGUACAGCCAGUGAGAAAACAGGGACCUCGCUACAACUUCGAGGAGCUACAUUCUGUUAGCAACCCAAAUGGACGGAAACCAGAUUCUCCCCUAAAACUUAGAGGCUUCAGAAAGGAACGCAGCAGCUGACCUCUGGAUUUCAGCCAUGCCUGCCAGACUUCUGACCUGCAGAGCUGUGAGGCAAUUUGCGCUGCUUCAGAUGGGUUUUUUGGCCACAAGGCAUGUGGAAUCUUGGCUCCCUGACCAGGGAACAAAACCGCAGCCCCUUCUUGGGAAGGUGAAGUCUUAGUUACUGGACCACAGCGAAGACUGUGCCUCUCUCACUCACCGUCAUCUGCCUUUCGUGCUGCCCAUCCUUCCAGCUGCCCUGUUCUGAGGCUCCAUCCUCUCCUUCCUCCUAUUCCUUCUCUGCACCACAUCAGAUGAUUGCUUGGCCAGCUGCCCCUUGCUGGCCACAUGUGGCCCAUCGCCUGCUUCUGUCAGUGAAGUUUUUCAGGAAAUACAGCCUCACCCAGUGGCUUCUGCAUGGUCAGAGCCCAUUUUAUUAGCAGAGUGGAAGGGGUUCAACAGAGGUCUGGUCCACAAAAGUCUAAAAUGUUUAGGAGGAGUUUGUCAACUCUGUGCUCGUGUCCUGACAGCUGUGAUGCUGGCCACCCCGGAAUGCAGGGGUGCAAGGGCUCCUGUGUGCCUUGUGGUGGCCUUGUCUGUUUCAUCUUUUGGUGUCUGCGAUUAAUUGAAAUCACACGGUGUUUCUAGAGGGAGCAGGUCCUGGUUACAGAGCGUCUUGAGGGGAAUGAUGUCUUGGGCUGACUCAUGUUGAGUGAUGUAGGUGAACGGACCACAGUGACACCGCACAGGUCCCUGAUAGGGAUCCUUGAAGAACAGGAGGUUUAUUGAUUUUGGACGAUAGAAUUGCUGACCUGCUUGGGAUUGUCGCUGCACUUCUAACAUCAAGAAACAAGGAAGCAGUAAUACAGUAUACUAACGCAUAUAUAUGGAAUUUAGAAAGAGGGUAACAAUAACCCGGUGUACGAGACAGCAAAAGAGACACUGAUGUAUAGAACAGUCUUAUGGACUCUGUGGGAGAG
ensembl:lncRNA